rnacentral:tRNA from 1 species
GACGAUGCAGCGGGAGAUCCAGGCCCGCAACCCGGAGGUCGCAGGUUCGAAUCCUGCCCCCGCUACCA